UAAGGGGGGAGAACUACUGAGGGAAGAGAGGAGAGAUAUUUUCAUUCUUAAUAGCAGAGUUGUCCUCUGGUGAGGAUUAGGGAUCGUGGAAGGACGGUCCGGAUGUUGGGUAGAGGGUGGAGGCAGGCUGCGGGAUUGUGGACAUCUAGAAGAGGCAUUCCUUGCAAUGCUGCAGUUGUGGAUUCACAGACAGCGGAUGGACGGAUGAAAGGAGGAAAGAGAGCGACUCAUCUUGUGGUCAACUCACCAUAUAUGAACGGAUACUGGGAAAGGAAGCAUGUGCUGGGUGAUGCAGGCUGUGUUAUGCAUGUGAGUAAGUGUACUAUGCCUGUGCUCUUUGAUGGAGGCACAGUUAUUCCAUUUCCCGUCACAUCAGAGGAAUGCAGGGUGAGAUUCCUGCUAUGUGAGUCGUGCCCUCUCACCUGCCAUCAUCAUACAGAUACUAUUUCAACCUUCCAUUUCCUCCUCGGCCGGGAAAUUCCCCAGUUUUACUCAGGGAGGAAGUUACAUAGUUUGCAUGAGCUGCGUUCUGGUCAUAAUUGGAUAUUUCAAGUUACAAACCUAUGUUCCUAUUUCCUCUACACACAAUUUAUUUUGCUUAUUUGAAGGAGUUCAGGAGUUUAUUCCAGUCAGUAAAUGAGGGUGGUGUUUUCACUUCAUUUUAGAGUACCGACGUAUAAGCAUGGACGAAAUAAAUCUGGAGUAUUAUGUGGGUGUAAAUGGAGUAAUUGCUUGUUUGCACUUACGAGAGCAAGGAUGCUUUGUCAUGCUGGGUCUGUAAUGUGUGUGUGUGUGUGUGUGUGAGAGAGAGAGAGAGAGAGAGAGGAGGGAGCUGCUACUUUAAAUUUUUAUUUCCUGUUUGGUUAAUUAUCUUCUAAAGCUUGUGAAACAUUCACAUCCUUAUAACUUACUGUAAAUAUAGUUAUUAAUACAAUGCAUCUGUGUCUAUCUAAGUGCGUGUGUGUGUGUGUGUGUGUGAGCCUGUGAUGACUCAGUUACAACAAUGACGCUGGCAGAGCAGUGGAUGAAUAGCUCACACUGACUGUAAAAAGCAGAGAGAAAGAGAGAGAGAAAGAGAAAGAGAGAGAGAGAGAGAGAGAGAGGGCUGUGCUCUCCCUGGAAUCUCCAUCUCAUAACUCCUCUCCUGCUCAGUGCGUUCACACACUCACAAACACACACUCAUACAGAGAGGAGACAGCCCUGAGGACUUCAGCACCUACAGUAUAAUACAGCACUCUUCAGUACAGUACAGGACGGGUCUGGCUUUCAGUCGGAGCUGCAAGUGUGAAGAUUUCUCCAGGGAGGAAAUAAUGUGGUAGGUGACCGAUCAUUUGCAACAGGUUAGUGUUUUAUCACCGCACUUGUGUAUGUGUUCAUUUCACUUGGUUAUUCCAUGUUAGAAAGACAGAGAUGCUGUUUUAAUUAGACUGCUUUCGCAACUUGUGUUAAAUUGCAUACAUUUAUGGGGUGUUACGGAAAGUGAUGUGGCUGUUUCACUUUCAGUGUACUUCUGAACCACAGCCAGUCACCUGUAGCCAUGUCGAGUGACGGAUUUCUGUCAUGUCUUGAUAAAAGUUUCUGUCAAAGCUUGUUUGUAAAAUGUAUUUUUACGUGAGUAUUAUUUACUGGAAAAGUAAACCACUCUGCCAUAGACAAGAUGAACUAGUUUGUGCUGAUGGAGGACAUUAAUCAACAAUCUUUCCAGGAGGACAUCCAGCAGUGAUAAAAGCAUCAGAUUCAGUCCUCCUGUGCAGCCCUCUUUCUCUCUGCCUGUGCUGUAAAUGUGAUGAGUCUGUGAGAUUGAUUUUCAUGGCUCAACAUUCUUCCUUUAUACUAAAUGAUCUUGGAUAUAUGUGUGUGUCCAUACAGCACUUCCUGUCUUUAUUUUGCUCUCUUGCUCUCAUACCUAAAUGUUGCAUUAUGUGAGUGCCAGAUGACCACACCUGGAUCCUGUCCUACAUUGGUGCGGGUAAAUAUAGAUACACAACACACUCCCUGCAAACCUCAUUCUGUCAUUUAAAUCCUUUCGUGUGAUGAAGUCUUCUUUUGUCUGCACAGUCACUGAUCUUAGGCAAGGCGAUAAAGGUCCAGGCUAAUUAACGACAGACUGGCAAGUCUGUAAAAUCCCCUGGUAACUCAUACUGCAGCAUGAAAUACAGUGACAUUUAUUUCCCCAUUUUGACAAAAGUAUUUCAAGUCUUUUGCGCUCGUCGGCAGUACAUACAGUAUGUUGUCAUAUACAGGAGACUGUCUGCCGGUGUUUGUGUUAGCUGCUUCUUCAAAAUGAAAAGCACAGGAAAUAAUUUUUAUGACUCAUCUGUCACAUGGUUGAUUGUUGCUUGAAGCAAAGGAGGAGUUGCUGUCUUGGCACAUGAUGCUCAUCUCAUUUUAAGUGUUGACAUCAUAGAUGGUAUAUGUACAUGGAGAUUGAUCUUCAGUUCAGUGUCCUGUAGUUUAAGAAAGUUGGGGAUGGGUUUCCUCCAUCUGGUCGAAUGUCUAGAGCCUUACUGGGUUUCUUAUCCUUAUCCCGUCCUGUAGAUUCCUAUCAAACCUCUCUUGAAGCAACAGUUAGUGAUCUGUCCAUUUAAUAUAUAGAGCCAACAGUCGGUUAGCUUAGCUAAGCAUAAAUACUGGAAACUCCAUCCAAACACAACAAAAUCCACCAACCAGCACCUCUUAAGCUCACUAAAACCACAACUUUGGGUGUGUAUAGAUUAAACAAACAUAUAUAACAUACAUCCAGUCUCAGCUAAGAUGGAUUUCAUUUUUGUGUCAUGCACAGAGAGUGUCCAGCCAUCGCGGGUUUACAAGACACCACAAAUACAGUCGCAGCGGUCCAACAUUUAAUUUCAUUCUAAAAUUACAGAUUAUUAUACAGCUUGGUUUAAAACAAAAUAUUCUGCCUUCUCUUCCAAACUUGACAUAUAAAAUUUGCUACAAAAAAAGGUUUCCAUCCUAAAGCACAAAGAAAUCCUCAUAAAUGAAAGACAUUUUAUUAAAAAGAACAUCCCUUAUGUCUCCGUCUCAUUCUCAGUUUCACCUAAAUCACACAACAAACAAAGUCUGUUCUCCUCUGGAGUGGCAUUACAUCUCCCCGUCUCUAAGGUAACUGGCUGUUGGCCUCAUAUUUAACGGACAGAUAUGAGAGCGAUAACAAACUUCUUAUAUAACUCACAGCAAGGAAGCAAAUCAGUGCAAAUAAUUUCCUAAAAAUACUGAACUACUCCAUCAACCUAGACUUCUUUGAUGAUGCUAAUAUGUGACUGUGUGUCACAUGAGCAAAUAUCAUCUGAGAAUGAUCCACCAGUAAUUCCUCUCCUUUUUAUCAAAGUAAAAGUGCUGUUUUUGAGGGUAAAUGCUUCAAAUAAUCAGUUUCAAUCACCCCAAGGUGUGGCUGAUUCAUGUUCCCCUCACCUGCUGAACGUCAAACUGAUCCAAUUUAUCAGUCAAUACUUCAGGAACCUAAAUGUCAAUUCUGCUUCGCUUGGGUCAACAAGCCUCCGUUCAUGUCAUGAUGAAUAGGAAACCUUUCUACUAGAUUCACUUCCUUCCCCCAUCUCUCUUCCUCACGAGCACAUGAUUGCCCACAUUCAUGGGGUUAUACCCUCCGCCAUUAAGGAUAAUUGCUCUGGUUGCCCUAGGUGUGAACUCACUUAAGUAGGAUGAGGAGCGUUCAGUCUGAUACAAAGAUGAAGCUGCAACGAGAGACACGCACCACCUCGAGGAAGAGCUCAGGGGAACGAUACAUUACAACCAUUAUAUCCUCCUCCUCCUCCUCCUCCUCCUCCAUGAAGCAGAGUCUCUUGACUUCUUGGGUGCUUGAUGACUCCAGACAAAAAUAUAGUGAUGAGAGUCAAAUUGAUGACUACGGUUUCUUUGGAUGCCUCCCUGGGUCUCACUCAUUUAGCUUUGGCUCAGUCAUCAUCCCAUGUAGUUGAUGCAGAGCGCUUACUAUCAAACCCAGAGGAGGGUAGAAUUUAAUUUCCUUUCUCUUAACUCAUCCAGGGCGGUUUUUGUGUGAUGUCGCAACAUUGCAGUUAGACAAAUCUUUUCCUUGAAUGGAAACAUGUAUUAUCCUUUAUCUUUUUUGUCUGUGCAUGAUGUAUUUAUAUUUAUUUAGAUGAGAUUUGGCCUGUGAAUGUGGUAGAAAGGAAGUGGAAGAGGAGGUGUUAUAAACAGUGUGUCAUAUGAUAAACCUUCAGCCCUUCAGCUCCUGUUCAAAUGAAGCCAUCUGGGAACAAACAUGAGUCAUAGAUCCUAUGGUGGAUUAUACCCGCUAGACCUGAUACCUUUAUUGCACAUCUAAUAUCAACAGUCUCACAGUCAGCUCAGACCUGAUUAUUCAACCGUAAUGCAUGUAUUUAUACACUCGUCGUUUCUCUUCCAGUCCACUUGCCGCUCUGUCUUUGCUAUAUUGUUCUGUUUUCGCAGUAAUUAAUAUCAUGCAAGCAACAUCACAACACCCUUUUUAACCAGUUUUUAACCUGCAGACAACCUGAAAGGAGGAGUGUCCUUGUAAGAUGAUGACUGAUUCUGCCUGCUUAUGAGAGGGGCAGCGGUGAGACGUCCAGCUUCUGCAGUAACUCAUACUCAGUUUGUCCUUUUCACCAGCACCUUCCUCCUCUAAGGUUCACUGUAUGGGUAGAUGCUGCUGGCUCUAGAUACGUUUCCUGGUUCUCCUUUGCACUUCAAAGAGGAGGGUGAAGUGAGGGAGUUACAAUCUGCAACCAAACUGCUAGAUGCCACUAAAUCCUACACACUGGACCUUUCGAGAAACAGUUUGACAUUUUUAGAAACACGCUGUUUGCUUUUUUGAGUUAGAGCUAAGAUUGACAUCACUCAUCACUACUUCUGUCUGUUAAAUAUGAAGCCACAGCCAGCAACCUUAGAGUGGAUGCCUGGUUCUGUCAAAAGGUAAUCCCCCUUCCAGCACCUCUAAAGCUCAUUAAUUUACACGUUAUAUCUCUUUGUUUAAUAGUAAAAAAACCCAAAGUUUUAAAAUAACAUGUUGUGCUUGUAGUGAGCUUUAGAGGAGCUGGUGUAUAUUGUUACAUUUGCACAGACCCAGGCUUGCUGCAUCCCCCAUCAUCUGCCAUUUAGCUUAGCUUAGCAUAAAGACUGGAAGUAGGGGGAAACUGCUAGCCUGGUUCUAUUGAAAGGUACCUACCAGCACAAAGCCUAAAGCUUAAUAAUUAACAUUUGUUUGUUUAAUCUGUACAGAAAUUAAAUUGUAAAAAUUACAAGUCAUGAUUUAUAUAUUUCUGGGUACAGUGACACAUCCACCCAUAAAACCACAACUUGUCAUUUUUACUCUUUAGUUUUUGUACAAAUUAAAAAAAUAAGUAGUAGUGUAUUAAUCAGUGAAUGUAAGAGAACUGGCUGGCGAUUUUUUUUUACCUUCAGAGAGAGUCAGGCGAGUCGUUUCCCCCUCAUUCCUAUCUUAAUGCUAAACUAAGAUAACCUGCUGCUGGCUGUAACUUAAUAUAGCAAACAGGCAUGAGAGUAGAACCAAUCCUCUCAUCUAAUUUUAACCAAGAAAGCGAAUACGCAUAUUUCCCAAACUGUCAAACUAUUCCUUUAAAACACCCUCACCAAUCCUUUAAAUGACAUCUUGAUCAAAAAAUAACUUUUUUUCUCCAGACGUAUUCUGAUGUAGUCUGAAACCUGAUAUAAGUGGUGGACUGGUGGUGCUGUAUGCUGAUCCAAGUUGGUGUCUCUACAAAAAUAUCCCCUUCUUCCAUCACUGAUUUGGCUUUGGCUUUCAGUGUAACCACACCCUCUGCUGUUCAUUUGUAGAACUGGCUGCAGUGAGGGGAGCAAACACAGGACAGCUUCCCUCUUCAAACAACACAUUUGACCUACAUAUGCACCCAAUUAGCAACAGGAGGCUCACCCGUCCAUAUUACACUAUAUCAAAGACCUCUUUUUCUGUAUGCCAACAUGUCUUGUAUUGCAUGUUUCAAGCGUAACGGACUGUGAAUCCGAAGACUUGUUGAGUUGACUGCACUCAGAAACUGAUUUCAUUUGGUGGCGUAGAUGUUUGUACGCUGUCUCUAGCACCAUAUGAAAUCAGUGUUCUGGGAGGUGGACUAUCAGCAUGUACAGACGUUGUACAAUGAAUAAACUGAAAUUUGAGAUGUUCUUGUAAUGCCAAAAAAGUAGGUCACAUUUGUAUAAAUUACUGUACUUGCUGCUUCAUCCAUUCACUAACUGGUCGCAGCUGCUGUCCUGCUUCUUGUUAAAUCUUUUUUUUUCCCCCCCUUUCUGCGUCUCCUUUCAAACAUACCUUUAUCAUGAAAUAGUUUGGUUUUUUAAUGCAUUUUGGAUAUUUAUGCUAAAGUAUGUAACUUUUCCUAAAUAGUGGCUUAACUGGCAAUAAAGAGAUACAUGUAAAUGCAUUGAUGUCCUUUAUUCAACAAUAUCUGUCUAUAGUUUGUUAACAUUAACAUUAGCCACCAUAGGUUACAGGUCAUAGCAGACCAAGUGAGGCUGUAGCAGCUGGUAGUGGAGUAUACUGAACUGAGAUUCACAGCAUUGGAUUGCCUUUGAAUUCAACUUUUCAUUUGUAAGAGGAAGAACACUGUUUUUCUUACUUUAAAUAGUCUUACUUUAAAGGCUCAUUCUCUGAUUGAAGUCUGGUACUAGCAUUCUUUUCAUCCCCCAUCAUUACAGUUUUCUCUGUAUAGUAUUUUUUCUUUCUACCGAUUAUGAAAUGUACUAUUAAGAUUUUAUCAAAAAGUGACAGAUACUUUAUACAGUUUUGAGGAAAUUAAAGGUUGCUAUACAUACACCUGUAUUUUGUGGUAUCAAAAGUGUGAACUGAUAUGAAGAUGUUUGUUGUGUCCUUUAUAAAUGUCACAGCACCAGAUAAAAUAUCAAUAAAGUGCUUCAGUGCAGCUA